UACGUAGGGGGCAAGCGUUGUCCGGAGUUACUGGGCGUAAAGGAUGCGUAGAUGGUGUAGUAAGUUAUCGGUGGCAAAUCGAGGCUCAACCUCGUGGAAGUCGGUAAUACUGCUAUGCUAGAGGAUAGGAGAGGUUAACGGAACUCCCUGUGGAGCGGUGAAAUGCGUAGAUAUAGGGAAGAACACCAAUCAGGCGAAGGCAGUUAACUAUUCUAUUCCUGACAUUGAGGCAUGAAAGCGUGGGGAGCAAAACGG
rnacentral:rRNA from 1 species